rnacentral:rRNA from 1 species
GCAACGAGCGCAACCCUUGUGUUAGUUGCAAACAGGUCAAGCUGUGCACUCUAGACGAGACUGCCGUGGACAACACGGAGGAAGGUGGGGAUGACGUCAAAUCAUCAUGCCCCUUAUGAUCUGGGCUACACACGUGCUACAAUGGCCGGUACAACGGGCAGCGAAGGAGCGAUCCGGAGCGAAUCCUAAAAAGCCGGUCCCAGUUCGGAUUGCAGGCUGAAACUCGCCUACAUGAAGUUGGAGUUGCUAGUAAUCGCGAAUCAGAAUGUCGCGGUGAAUGCGUUCCCGGGUCUU